GCCUGGGUGGCUCAGUGGUUGAGCAUCUGCCUUCGGCUCAGGUCGUGAUCCCGCAGUCCUGGGAUCGAGUCCCACACCGGGCU
rnacentral:tRNA from 1 species